UACGUAGGGUGCAAGCGUUGUCCGGAAUUAUUGGGCGUAAAGAGCUCGUAGGCGGUUUGUUGCGUCGGCUGUGAAAUCCCGAGGCUCAACCUCGGGUCUGCAGUCGAUACGAGCAAACUAGAGUGUUGCAGGGGAGACUGGAAUUCCUGGUGUAGCGGUGAAAUGCGUAGAGAUCGGGAGGAACACCUGUGGCGAAGGCGGCUCGCUGGGCCGGUCCUGACGCUGAUGCGCGAAAGCGUGGGGAGCGAUCCGG
rnacentral:rRNA from 1 species